UACAGAGGUCUCAAGCGUUGUUCGGAUUCAUUGGGCGUAAAGGGUGUGUAGGUGGCGCCGUUAGUCGGGUGUGAAAUUUCGGAGCUUAACUCCGAAACUGCAUUCGAUACUGCGGUGCUUGAGGACUGGAGAGGAGACUGGAAUUCAUGGUGUAGCAGUGAAAUGCGUAGAGAUCAUGAGGAAGACCAGUGGCGAAGGCGGGUCUCUGGACAGUUCCUGACGCUGAGGCACGAAGGUCAGGGGAGCAAACGGG
rnacentral:rRNA from 1 species